CCUUUUAAGCCCCUAGCUCAUCCCUCCUGCUGUAUCGCAGGUCUUUGGGGCCAGGUAGAUGGAGGAAAAAAAUUAGUUUCCUUCAGGCAAAGAAUCUCCUGCUUUUAUUUAUCGUCUUAAGGUUUUCACGGCCUGAAAGGAUCCUAUUUGGGUAGAUAAGGAGAAUUCCUGGGCUGCAAGGAAGUUUGACUCGUAUCCUAGCCAGACCCUCAUUUGCAAAGUGUAUUUCUAGCCACUGCGAAUUUCACCGCACCACAGCAAUGGGCAAUCUCAGUUGGGAAAACUCCCCUUGAAUGGAAAUUUCCUUCCUCCAUAUCUAUUUAGGAAGCAAAUCAGAUGUCUUCUCCCGUGGGUCCCCUUUUCCUGACUCCUGACUCUCUCCUGACUCCUCACAUUGGAAUCCUUGUUCCUGGGAGGUUUGAAAUUUGAAGUACCCACUUGAACCACGGCUCCAGGAGAUGGGGGGAAGCAGCCGAGGAGGAAGGAGGAGACUCGAAUGCCCUGACCACCCCAGUACCAAACAAGCCGGCCAGGGAGAUCCCAGCCGCAGUGGUGAGGCCCAAAAUGGUAGGAGAAAUUCUUCGCUUGGACUGAGUGAGAUUAUUAUCGACAGGUUCUCAGGGAGAUCGAAGGAAUGAUAUGUGGGUGUGAGGGAUUGACUGUGUACCUGGGUACCCGGGAAAUUUUGGCUUAUUGACUCAUCCAAGUUUUAGCUUUCUUUUUUUUUCCUGGAAGAAAAGAAAUGAAGAAAGCGUUGUAAUGUCUGUAAGAAGUCCCAAACGAAGGUCAGACGCCACUGUGUUACUACUCCUACUCUGCAGUGAGGUCGAGUUGCCUUUUAGAUACCUCUGGGAGGGAUUCGGGACAAGAGAGCCGCACCCAAGAGGAAGAGGACAAGGCAGAUGUCGACUGGGGGAUCACGCCAACACGUGGAGACCGGGACACCCCUGAGAGGGGAUGGAAGUCGUCCUGUCCAUCCGAAAAAAAAUAAGUAUCGAAUCAACUACUAAUCCCCAAACUCUGGGAAAAAUUUCCUGCUAGUAUCAAAUCAUUUGAACCAGGCGCAAUCUCUCUCCCAUUUUUAGAUUCCAGAUGAAAAGAUGUUUGGAGUUUUCCUCCCAGAAUAUUUUCCCAAUCCAUUUUCAGGAGAAAGAACUCUGGUUAGGAUGUUGCUUUUACUCCUCAGAAUCCAGUCAGAGGAGAGAGAGGACAUGCGGGGAGCUUUUAAUUAGGAAUAAAUAUAGGGAAAGUCAAAGAGAGAUUAAAAAGAGAGUACUGGUAGGAUGUUAAAAGUAGAUUAAAAAAACCCUGAAACUUCACUGUAAAUUUCCCAGGGAAAUUUACCUCCUGUCCCCUUCCAAAGAAGGAAUAAAGCAGCCUAAGACGAGGCUCCCCGCCCUGUAGAACAGUUCGCUCUCCUGACUACUGGGAUUGGGAUUAUAUUCCAUGUGAGGCUUGGAUUUGUUAUUAGGAGAGAGGCAAGAAUAUUUUUGCACGUCCUCUAAGGGUGUGUUUCUGAAUGUGAUGUGGAAAAGAAUUCCUGCUGUAAAGUGGUGGUAGAGCCCGAGUUCUAACCCAGGUGGACAGUUUUCAGAGACUUCAGCUACCCACGUCUGGGAGCGCCCCCAACCGGCAGGCAUCUCCCCGGGCGGAGAACGGCGGCCUCCGACAUCGGCCGAAGCUGACCACCAGGAGAGCGAGAAGGGCUAGAUGAAAAGAUGCUGGCAACAGCCAAGGACCGCGGCCUGAUUUCCAAACCUAGGAUUGGCUCGGCUUGUCCAAGGCUACCGGAAGAAUGAAGACUGCCGUGAGAGAUGACCUUCCUUCUGGAUCGGGCGGCAAGUGGUGGAUAAAGGGAAAACCCUUUUAGGCCCCUAGCUAAUCCCUCCAGCUGUAUCCCAGGUCUUUGGGGCCAAGAAGAUGGAGGAAAAAAAUUAGUUUCCUUCAGGCAAAGCAUCUCCUGCUUUUAUUUAUCGACUUAAGGUCUUCACGGCCUGAAAGGGUCCUAUGGGGGUCAAAAAAAGGAGAAUUUUCUUUUAGGCACAAACUCUCUGGGUUAUUGGAUUACCUAAGGGCUUAAAAGGCUUUCAAAGAAAAUACAUGAGGAGCGAAAGGAGAGAUCUGCCGUAUGGCGAAGCCGUCUUCUGUAUGUUAGUCCACCUCAUGUCUCCAAGGCCUUUUAUUGGAGAAUACAGCGAGAGUUAUUGAGGUGUCAGAGGAGAAAGCUUUUUGUACCUGCACAAAUUCUCCAGAUUUCAUUUCCCUCCCUUGGGUCAUCAAGGCCUUCAAAAGAAUGUUUGAGGUGACAAGGGAGAAAUUUGCUUCAAGCGAAUACUCUCCACCUUUUCUCUCUCUGUCGAAGGUCUUCAAGGCCUCCAAAGAGAAUAUUGGAGUGAAAAGGAGGAAAUUUGCUUUGUCCAAAACAAUCUGCUCUUUUCUCUCUUCUCACGGUCUUCAAGGCCUGAAAGGACAAUCUAUGGAGUUCAAAAAAGAAAAAACGGGAAUUUUCCUUUGUGCAGAAUCUCCCUGCUUCUCCCUCCACCUAGGGUCUUCAAGGCCUCUGAAGAGAAUACUGGGGGAGUAAAUGGAGAAAUGGCUUGUUGCAGAUCCAUCUCCUGUCCAUUACUCCACCUCAGGCCUUCAAGGCCUCUGAACGGAGAAUGAAUGAGAGACUUUUGGAGGCGUAAGAGGGGAAAUUUGCUUCAUGCAAAAAUCUCCAGAUUGUAUUUCUCUAUCUCUGGUCUUCAGGGCCAGAAAAGAGAAUAGUAAUGGGCAAAAAGGAGAAAAUGGCCUCAUAUUAAGCUCUGGCUGCAAAAAGGAGAAAAUCGCCUCAUGUUAACCCCUGGCUUUCCGAUCCCUACUGAAGGUCUUCAAGUCCUCCGGUGAGGGUAUUUGAGGUGAGAAAGUGAGUUUCAUGGACGCAGCUCCCAGUUUAUGUUUCCCUAGGGUCUUCAAGGCCUCCAAAGAGAAUAUUUCAAGGAAAAGGGAGAAAUUGGCUUCAUGCAACCAAUUUCCUGCUUCCAGUUCCCUCACUCAGGUUAUCAAGGCCCCGAUAUGUAUAACAUUUAAAAAGAGAGAGUUUGGCUUCAUGCCAAAACCUUCCAGCUCAUUUGUCCGGCUGUGGUCGACGAGACCUUCAAAGAUAGCAUAUGCAGUGAAAAAUGAUCAAUUUGCUUCAUGCAAACCAUCUCCAGCUUUUCUUUCUGCAGGGCUUUAAAGGCCUGGCAAGGGAAUGAUUGAGGUGAAAAGGGAGAAAUUUGCUUCAUGCAGUAGAUGCAUCUCCCGUUGAUUCCUCCAUUUGAGGCCUGCAAGGCUUUUGAACUGAGAAUGAAUAGAGACGAGUUGAGGUGGCAAAGGAGCCAAUUGCUUCAUGCCAAGCAUCUCCAGCUUGUAUGUCUCUCCCUGAGGUCUUCCAGGCCUUCCAGGGAAAUAUUUGAGGUGCAAAAGGAGAAGCAAACUCUAGUUUUGGUUCCUCUAGGGUCUUCAAGGCCUCCCAAGAGAACACUUGAGGUGAAAAGGGAGAAAUUGGUUUCAUUCCAAACUGUCUCUUGCCUUCUUUCUCUCAUGUCUCUAAGACCUGAGAAGAUAGUUUAUGGCAUACAAAAAGGAGAAUUUUGGUUCCUGCCAAAUCUGUUCAACUUAUUGGUCAAUCUGAGGUCUUCAAGACCAUCAAAGAGAAUGUAAGAGGCUUCCUGCCAAAAACCUCCUACUUUCCUUUCUCUCCCUGAAGUCUUCCGGACCAGAAAAGGGAAUAGUUGAGAUUGGAAAAAAAACAGGAGAAAUUUGCCUCAUGCAAGCCACCUCCCAAUUUCAUUUCUCUACCUAAGGUCCUCAAGACCAGAAAAGAGAAUAUGUUUGACAAGUCCAAAAGGGGCAAGUUUUCUUCCUGCAAAGCAUCUCCUGCUUUUGUGUCUCUACCUAAGGGCCAGAAGGAGUAAUGUAUGGGGUCCAGAAAGGAAAUCUUUUCCUGCUACAAAACCUCACCUCAUCAUUUUUUCACCUAAGGUCUUCAAGACCUGAAGAGAAACUACAUGAACUGGAAAAGGAGUCAUUUGCUUCAUGCGGAAACAUCUCCCGUGCCUUGGUCCACAAGAGGCCUUUAAGGCCUUUGACAAGACAAUAAAUAGAGAACAUUGGUGGUGAAAAGGAGAAAUGUGCCUCAUGCAAAACAAAUCUGCUUUCAUUUCUCUGCCCAAGGUCUUCAUGGACCUGAAAUGAGAAUCUUUGAAGUGAGAAAGGGGAGGUUUGCUCCAUGCAGAAACCUCUCCUGUUCAUUACUCUUCUUGAGGUCUUCAAGGCCUUUUAAGAACCUAAGAAUGGAGAAUAUUGGUGGAGAAAAGAGGACCCCUGCUUUAUGCAAAAAAAAAAAUCUGCUUCUGUUGUACUUUCUAAGGUCUUCAGGGCCUGAAAAGAGAAACUUGAGGUGAGAGAGGAGAAGUUUGCUUCAUGCAGAAACCUCUCCUGUUCACUUGAGGCUUUGAAGGCAUUUUAAAAUAUGAUGACUAGAGAAUAUUGGUGAUGAAAAGGAGACCUUUGCUUCAUGCAAAAAAAAAAAAAUCUCUUUCACUCUCUAAGGUCUUCAGGGCCUGAAAAGAGAAUCUUGAGGUGAGAAAGGAGAAGUUCGCUUCAUGCGGAAACCUCUCCUGUUCGUGACUCCAUUUGAGGCCUUCAAGGCCUUUGAAGAAAGAAAGAGGUGACAAAAGGAGAAAUUUGCUUCAUGCAAAUCGUCUUCUGCUUUUGUAUCUCCACCUAAGGUCUUCAAGACCUGAAAUGAGAAUUCAGGCCGUACAAAGACCAAGGGAGUUUUCUUAAUGCAUUCUCCUGCCAGGGUUUCUCCACCUAAGGUCUUCAAGGCCAUCCAAGGGUGGGGGGAAAAAAGGAGAAAUUUUCUUCAUGCAGAUCUACUUCCUGUACAGUUCUCCACCUCAGGCCUUUAAGGCCUUUUCAUGGAGAGAAAAUAGGGACCAUCUGAGGUACAGAAAAAAGCAUUGGGUUCAUGCAAAGCAUCUCCAGCUUUGAUUUCUCUCCCUGAGGUCUUGACGGCCUCAAAAGGGGUGAUUUGAGGUGAAAAAUGAGAAAUUUGCUUCAUGCAAACAAGCCCCAGCUUCUCCUUCUUUACCUAAGGUGUUCAAGGCCAUAGAAGAGAACAUCUGCAGUGAGAAUGGAGAAAUUGGCUUUAUGCAUGCAAUCUCCAGCUUUUAUUUCUCAGAGGUCUUCAAGGCCUCAAAAGAGAACAUUUGAGGCUUCAGUGGAGACAUUUGCUUCAUACUAAUGAUCUCCUACAUUGAUUUCUCUUCCUAAGGUCUUCAAGGCCGCCCAAGAGAAUCGUUGAGGUUGAAAAGCAGCAGUUGGCUUCAUGCCAACUACCUCCCGCUUUCAGUUCUCUCCGUAAGGUCUUUAGCCCCCAAAGGAGAAUAUCUGUGUGGAAGAUGGACACGUUUUCUUCAUGGAAACAACCUCCUGCUUCUGUUUCUCCCCCUGAGGGCCGGAAAAGGCAAUACGUGAGUUUCAACAAGGAGACAUUUGCUUCACGCAGACACUCUCCUGCUGAUCUGUCUAAGGUCUUCAAGACCUGAAGAGAAAAAUAUAUGAACUGGAGAAGGAGACAUUUGCUUGGUGCAGAAUCAUCUCUCUGGCAUGAGUUCAUUUCAGGUCUUCAAGGCCUUUGACUCAAGAGUGAAGAGAGAAUAUGUCAUUUGAAAAUGGGGGAAUUUACUUCAAGUCACUUUCUCCCACUUUUCUUUCCUUAGUCCAAGGUCUUCAUGGCCAGAAAAGAGAAUAUUUGGGUAUGAAAAAAGAGAAAUUUGCUUCAGUGUGCCAAAUCUCCUAUUCAUUAUGCCACAUCUCACCUAUGAAGGCGUUGCAGUUGAGAAUAUUUGGAAAAUCGCCAAUGUGCAAGAGAAAGAAUUUGCUCCCUGGGAAAAAAAUGAUCUCACUUAUUUCUCUGCCCGCGAUCUUCAAGGCCUGGCAAGAGAAUACGUAUGAGCUGGAAGAGGAGCAGUUUUGCUUCAUGCAAAAAGAUGUUCCCGUUGCUUAGUCCGCCUAAGGCCUUCAUGGCCUUUGAUUGAGAAGUUAAGAGUAGACAAGGUGGAAAAGGAGAAAUGUACUUCCAGGUCUUCAUGGCCUGAAAAGAGAGCGUCUAUGAGGUGGCAAAGGGAGAAAUUUGCUCCCUACACAAACCACCCUGAUCAUUUUUCUUACUUAGGGUCUUCAAGGCCUGAAGAGAAAACGUAUGAGCUGGAAAAGGAGAGAUGUUUCUCCUCCGGACCCAUCCCCUGUGCAUCAGUCCACCUCAGGCCUUUAAGGCCUUUGAAUUAAGAGUCAUUCUCGAAUCUGUGAGGUGAAAAACCUCCUGUUGAUUCCACUAGCUCAGGCCUUCAAGGCCCUUGAUGGUAGCAUUGAGAUGAAAAAGGAGGCAGUGGAGGUAGACCACCUGGACUGCAGUAAAGAGGAUAGAUUCCUACCCGCGGUCUAACUGGUUCCAUGCAAAAAUCUAACUGUGCAUCCUCCUGAGCUCUCUUUGGGCUCCACCCCUGGUCAUUAGGGCCUGGGCUUUGGGAGAGAGCAAAGAGGUAGGAAUGGAGUGAAGAGCUUCCUGCUAAUAAUCCCGGAAAGGGUUUUCCCUUUUAUCCUUCCACUCUGCCUGCUCUGCCCUCUUAACCGUGGACAAAGUCACCAAGCCACUCUGGGCCGUCUGACCAGAGCCCUGCAUCCUAAGAGCUGAGCUCAUCUGAUGUGGAAAUGACAGAUGAAGAAAGAGGGCCAAGCUCCACUACUCCAGAAAGGCUCCAUUUCCUCCAGAGAAAGUUCAUCUCUAGAAGAAUAGAGGAUGAAGGAAAUCAUCUGAUGGUUGGGUUUGGAGAAAAUCCGGCUACUGUUUAAGGGGAAACUGUUCUGGACCCAAGGCUCAGUCGGGGACCUCUGGUCCAGGCUAUUGGAGGGUGAUCCAAGAAAAUUUGAGGUGGAGGAGGAGGGAGGGAUUUGGCAUCAUGCCCAAUUCUUGUAAAACAUAGCUUGAUGUCAAACUUAACCUCUCCUCUGAUGAUCUCCUGCCUUGGGUCUUCAAGGCCCAGGGCCGAGUUGGGAGAAAGUAGCCUUAUGCAAAAGCGUCCUGUUUGAUACAUCAUCUCCCAUCCUGGCUACUCCGGUCUUUGUGGUGGAUGGUGGGGAUGGGGCGACGGGGGGACGGGGGCAGCUCACCCCAGAGAAACCCAUCAGGGGGCAAGAGAGAAAUUGUCUUCUUGCAGAACCUCCUGGAAAGCAUGGUCUAGCCUUCCAAGAACUCCCAAGUUUGGGCUUUAUGGCUGCACUUCUGCACCAAGCGAGUAUCCUCAUAGACCACCUGGGCUAUUUUUCUUGUGGGCCUUCUGGUUUUCAGAGAGGUUAGAGCUGCUCGAAUUUGACCAUGUUGGUUGAUUUUACCUGUGAAGAAGUCAUCCAGUACUAGAGGGAAAUACCUUUUACAAUUCUAUAGUGUUAGGUCAGGAUUACAAUUGGAAACCUGUAUGACGAAAGCACAACAGAGUCAACUCCUUGUCCUCCUGUAAAUCCUGAUUGACCAGCUCAAUGUUCAAUGGAAUGGUAUUUUUCUCUCACCCGGUUGACAUGAAAGAACUAGAAGACCUAGGCAGUCCAUCACACCAGCAAGCAUUUCGUAAGUCAAUAAAAUAGCUAAAUAGAAUUAAACUAAAUAUAAAACGCAACUCCGGGUAGCACAAUAAAAUACAAUAAAAUAGUUUAAAAUAAAAAUAACUACUAAAAUCAUUAACAUAUAAAAUAAUGACAUAUAAAUGCAUACAGCACUCAUUCCAUUGAACGUAGACGUCUGGGAAAUCUGAGGAUUAAAAAAAAAAAACCAAACCCCGGACUUGGGAAGACCAAAAAUGGGGAGCGAGGUUUAUCUCUCUGGCUUUAAUAAUGGCAUCUGCUGAAUGGCUUUAUGACCGCAAACUGACUCUAACACUAUAGACCCACCCAAAAACUCUGAGGGGAAAUUCAAUCCAAUUUCAAGGGAGUUUUGCCUGGCCUGCUAGGUUUCAGAAUGUCUGUCACCUGGAGUAUUUUGUCCCCAAGGUUUGGAUUCUAUACAGAUUUAGGGGACUGCUGUUGUGGGCUGGACCUUGCCUGUCUAUGGUCGGCCUGGUAGGACCUGAGGUAAGCGCGGGCCCGGAGGGAGAAAUGGACUAAUUCCCACAAAGGGUGGGUUGAAGGGCUAUCCUGAGGGUGGCCCUGGGAGCUGGCAAGCGUUGCCUCGAUGAACAUCAGUGCGUUUCCACCUGCCUUAGCUUUUGCAUCUGAGAAUCUGCCGGUAGGAUUUGUAUUCCGCUGCCUACAGCAAGGGGAGAAUCGAGGGUCCUAGGUCUGGAGAAAACAACUGGAGGUGAAGGUGCAGCAGAGCAAGAAGAAGAAUCCCCGCGAUUGUGCCCGCCCCGGGAGGAAUGGCCGCUGCCCCUGCGGCCCCGUCUUGUGGGGCGGGGUGGGGGGGAAGCAGGGGCAGCCUGGUAAGAGGGGCCGGAGGGAGGAGGGAUGUCACGGACCAGGCCUGCGGAGGUGGGACGGAGGGUCUGAGCCCGCUGCAGCACUGCCACUCGGUGCCCCCUGAUCAUCAGUGGGAGGUCCACUGCAGGGGGGACAGUGGCAGUGCAGGGGAGGGAGCGGCCGGGAAGAGGGUGUUGCUGGGGAUCCCUUCUCUAUCUUUUCCCCUCUUCAUUCCCCCCUCGCCCCCCCCGACGCCCCCGCUUUUCUUCCAGCCACUUCCAUUUCUCCUUCUUCCCUUUCUUCCGUAAAAUAAAAGUUAAAAAAAGGUUGUUUCAACAGCACCUCAACGGUUCGAGGAGCACAUCCCUCCAGCCAAGCCAGCUCUAGCUUCUUCCCGGACUGGAUUUGCAACAGCCCCAGAGAACAACCACCUGAAGCGUUCCUGUCUCCAGCCCAACGCCACACCAGCCCGGACCCAAGCCUCCGCAUGUCUUCUGGGAUCUGAAGUUGCCUCUCAGCCCUCCAGCCAAGCCAGCUCUAACUUCUUCCUGGACUGGACUUGCAACCGCCCGAGGGAACAGCAACCUGAAGCACUCCUGACUCCACCCCAGCCCCACACCAGCCCAGACCCGAGCCUCAGCUUGUCUUCUGAGGCCGGCCCGGAGAUCCCUCUGACCAGCCCUGCCACCCACACUUGAGCCCUGCCCCUGGCCUCACCCUACCCCCUUUCACUUAAUCCACCCCUCCCCCUUCCAGAAUUUCCAAGAAAACCUUUACUUGGUCCAAACUCUAUGUUAAUAAAUAAAAAUCGUUCAUAUCCCAUCUGAAA